rnacentral:lncRNA from 10 species
CCUGCGUGCCGGCGGGGGGCGCGGACACGCGUGGUGUGCGCGGUCCCCGUGCAGCCCGCCCUGCCGCAGGCUGCCCUCCACCCCCAGCCCCAGCUCCAGCCCCCAGCCCGUCCCCACUGCUCAUAUCCGAGCAGAUAGACCCCGGCCCCACCCUCCCGUGCUGAGCCUCCUUUCUGCCGGGAAGUUCGUCCGGGAGUCAAACAUCGCUGCCCUCCGGUUGCGCCACGGAGGGGGAGCCAGGAUAGGAAGCUGCCGUGAAAUCAGGAAGCUGAGCGCGCCGGGCCCCGGAUCCGAACAGAAAAGGCUUCCACCCGCUCCCCUGAGGGAUCCCACGCUGAGGGACUGAACCCCGCACCCCAGCCGCGCUCACCACCCCCACCCUCUCGCCUGGGCUGCUCUGACCUGGGGGACUUGGCUCCAGUGGACCCAUACCUACCUGGCGGCCUCAUGCUGCAUAGGGCCACCCAGGGCAGGAGAUUUAAAUCCCA